rnacentral:lncRNA from 1 species
ACUGCAGCAGCUGCACUUCCUGUUUUCUUGGCAUUGGCGCCACUGGCUGUAUGGGUUAUGACGAGGUCUGUGGAUAGGACUCUUCGGCUUCUGCGCCAAGCAUCCCUUUGGGCUGCAGUCAUGAACAGCGUGACAUGGGUUCUGUUCGCUUUCAUAGCUGCCAAGUGGGUUGAGUGCAUGGAACUGGUCUUGGCAUACCCCAUCCUUCUCACCCUAAAUUUCACCUACCUGCUUAUGGUGUACGGUUACCGCAAGAACCUGUGGAUGGUAUACAACAACCUCUAUGUGUACAUUAGUGUUUUAUUCUGCCACUAUGUCUUCCCUAACGUAUCUUUCUCUUUUAUAUUUUGAUUGAAGGCUGCAAUUAUGAGCUUGCUGGUUCUACCUUGUCUGG